UCUCAUCUAGUUGCCCUUAUCAAUUCUCCUAACCACAUAAAAUCUUAACCCGCCUCAAAUCCUAGGGGAUGUUUCCAACUCCAACAGUGGCACACCAUCAGAAGCAGCCAGACCCCUCAUUUUUUUCUGAAAAUUGGCACCACCCACCUCAUCUUCUGCUCUUACCAUGCUAAAUCCAUAGUAAAGCUUUUUCUAGGCAGAUACAUUUAAAGAAGUAUCAAAUCUUAUUUGGGUGCAUUUGAAAGACUCCUCUUUUUCUAUCAAGGAAGUAAUACUCCCUUAUCUCAGGUUAAGCCAGCUACCCGUCGCUUCAGCAUUACCUGUGCAAAGCAUGAAGAAUGGUUGACCAAGGGUUUCACUUUCUUCUGCUCAAAAUUUCCCUCAGUCGGCAACAACAACCAUGGCUUCAAGUUCCUGCCCUGCUCUUCACCUCUUGACAUUUUCUUCCUUCUUCAUCCAUUCCGUUGGGAUUUCAUCAAUUAUUUGGUUUUCCGGUGAGGUUCAUUCGUUGAUUCCAAUCGAAAUUCCAAUUGAGGUUCCGUUCACAGUUUUUUGCUCGUUUUUGGAUCUGUUUGAUCAUACUCAGCGUUUAAGUUUUGGUACGAUAACAUUGAAGGCAAUAACUUGCUCAUUUGAGUUCCAUUCUUAUCCUUUCCUAUCUAUCUAUUCUCCUUUAGUUCCAUGUAUGCAAUUUCUUGGUGAUACUACUUUGUUGAUCAAUUCUGUGAGUGCUCUAGUUGAUUUUUAGUCUCUGUUAUUAAACAUUUUUCUCAAACAAAUAUUUUUGAUUCAGUUCCUUCGUUUGGCCGAUGAUUUUAUGUUUUGGUAAUUACUUGAUAAGUAAAUAAGACAAACGGGCAGCGGAGGCUUGAACAUAAUUAAAGAGAGUUGGGGCUUAAUAUGAUAUGUUUUAUUCCUGCUUGCUAGUUUCACUAACGCUAAGGGUAUGUUAGAAGACCUACAUACACGUU
rnacentral:lncRNA from 1 species